ACGACACAUCUGCUGCAAUGUGAAACGAGCCUCUGCGCAGGCAACGAAACGCUAUGAUAGAUACACAGUGACACAAGCCUCUGCGCAGGCAACUAAACGUUAUGUUAGAUGCAAUGAAAAAACGCCUCUGCGCAGGCAACUGAUUGUUCCGAUCACCGCAACGAGAAACACGCCUCUGCGCAGGCAACCGACUGUAAUGUUUAAAUACAAUCGUAAACCACGCUUAUGACAUGAUACCAAUAAAAAUAUUUAAAACAAUAAGCUGUAAUGCUACAAUGAGCUGCAAUAAUACAAUGAGCUGCAAUGUUACAAUGAGCUGCUGUAAUGAUUAUGAUUAACAUGCCCCUUUAACCAACAAAUUUCGGUGACAGAUGAAGCUACCACUAGCCAGAUUAAUGAUGGCUAAUUCUAGCACUGCAUUUUUUGUCCUGUAAAUCUUUGACCAAAUAGCUGACAAAGCAUUAUAGAAAAUAUAGUCCUCUAACAUUUGCAUUCUACCUGUAAAAGGACAGCAGUGAUAUUUUUAUAGGUUCUGUUGAACAAUGAACAGUAAUGUUUCUGCUGCUGUGCCUGCGAAGAUAUGAGAGGAAUGUUAAAGGGUGUACUCUGACCUUGAACCUCCUGCUUACAUUGAACGAUUUCACUGUAACUUACAGGCCAGAACCUGGGGCCCCGGGGCCUACAAAUACACUAGGUCUCUGUCUGCCUCUCUGCUUAGUACAGCUCUGCAAAAAUACUAUUCAUUUACUGACACAGAGUUUAUCUACCAAGCUCCGGAUGCACAUGUGAACAGCAGAUUUGGGAAAAAUAUUGGAAUGUCAGGUGAAAUUGCUAUUUGCUAUUCACUAAAGGUAAUCCAAGCUUUGAGCUUUGCAUAGAAUGCUUCAAUUCUGACUUUUACUUAUUUGAUGUCUG